AGCCAACUAGUUUAGGAGUCAUUAGCCCAAAGCUCACUACAAGGAUCAGAUAGAAAGCUUAAGAGGUUAGGACAUUGCAUUGACUGUAUGUAUUUUAUUUAUAAAAUUAAAAUAAAGAGACCUAAUUGCAAGAAGAUAAAACAUCAGCUCACAUUAAAGCUAGAGGAUUUAAAGAGUAAAGUAGGGAGUCGAUCAAGAAAAAAUUCUAGAAUUUUAUAUUCUCCACUUAACCACUAUUUGGGAUGGAAUUAAUAAUUCAAUGAUGCAUCUCUUAAUUCUCUGACC
rnacentral:lncRNA from 1 species